UACGUAGGGACCAAGCGUUGUUCGGAUUUACUGGGCGUAAAGGGCGCGUAGGCGGCAUGUUAAGUCAGCUGUGAAAUCUCCGAGCUUAACUCGGAACUGUCAGCUGAUACUGAUGUGCUAGAGUGCAGAAGGGGCAACUGGAAUUCUCGGUGUAGCGGUGAAAUGAGUAGAUAUCGAGAGGAACACCUGCGGCGAAGGCGGGUUGCUGGGCUGACACUGACGCUGAACUGCGAAAGCUAGGGGAGCGAACGGG
rnacentral:rRNA from 1 species